rnacentral:lncRNA from 1 species
GGCCGAGCAGGGGCUGCCCGUUAGACGGCCGCAGAGUCCCAGCCCCCAGCCCUGCUCACCUUUCUUACCUCUCUGGCCCCGUCGGCAUUUGAGCCUGGGACCCCAGACGAAAGGAUACGCUUCCUUUUAGAACCCCUGCCAAUCUGAGGACGGGGCCACCCCACAGACGCCGUGGCUCAGCAAGCAGACCAAUGGCCGAGGAGUCUGGCAAGGGGCGCUUGGCAGAUGAGAGUGGAGGUUGUAAAUCACCCUCCAUGCAAUGGUUCAUCAUAAAGGAUAUGGAGCAAAAUUAGAGGAGGCACGAGAAGGAAAGCCGGUGAUGAACAAGGCUAUUGCUUAAAGACUGAAUGACAUGGACCCCAGAGUUUAUGUGAGUUACUGUAAAAAUCAGGGCUUCACUCCCAACUGAGAGCCUUGCAGAGUGAGGAGUUUCUCUAGAGACCAUCUGAUAAAUGCGGGCUCCCACACGCAGAGAUGUGAGCUAGAGCCGUGCAGCAAAUAAUAUAUAUUAUUUUCUUCUCC